rnacentral:rRNA from 1 species
AGCAGCCGCGGUAAUUCCAGCUCCAAUAGCGUAUAUUAAAGUUGUUGCAGUUAAAAAGCUCGUAGUUGAAUUUCGGGAUCAAUCUAUCGGUCGUGCAAUAGUACGUACUGAUUUUAUUGAUUCCUCCCUUCUGAUGAACUAUGAUGUCAUUAAUUUGGUGUCAUAGGGAAUCAGGACUGUUACUUUGAAAAAAUUAGAGUGUUUAAAGCAGGCUCACGCUUGAAUACAUUAGCAUGGAAUAACGAAAUAGGACGUUUGAUUCUAUUUUGUUGGUUUCUAGGAUCGACGUAAUGAUUAAUAGGGAUAGUUGGGGGCAUUAGUAUUCAAUUGUCAGAGGUGAAAUUCUUGGAUUUAUUGAAGACUAACUACUGCGAAAGCAUUUGCCAAGGAUGUUUUCAUUAAUCAAGAACGAAAGUUAGGGGAUCGAAGACGAUCAGAUACCGUCGUAGUCUUAACCAUAAACUAUGCCGACUAGGGAUCGGAUGAUGUUAAUUUUUUAAUGACUCAUUCGGCGCCUUACG